rnacentral:rRNA from 1 species
GACGAACGCUGGCGGCGUGCUUAACACAUGCAAGUCGAACGGAAAGGCCCUGCUUUUGUGGGGUGCUCGAGUGGCGAACGGGUGAGUAACACGUGAGUAACCUGCCCUUGACUUUGGGAUAACUUCAGGAAACUGGGGCUAAUACCGGAUAGGAGCUCCUGCUGCAUGGUGGGGGUUGGAAAGUUUCGGCGGUUGGGGAUGGACUCGCGGCUUAUCAGCUUGUUGGUGGGGUAGUGGCUUACCAAGGCGUUGACGGGUAGCCGGCCUGAGAGGGUGCCCGGCCACAUUGGGUCUGAGAUACGGCCCAGACUCCUACGGGGGGCAGCAGUGGGGAAUAUUGCACAAUGGGCGGAAGCCUGAUGCAGCAACGCCGCGUGCGGGAUGACGGCCUUCGGGUUGUAAACCGCUUUCGCCUGUGACGAAGCGUGAGUGACGGUACUGGGUAAAGAAGCACCGGCUAACUACGUG